rnacentral:rRNA from 1 species
UGUAAAGUUAAGUGCUGAAAGCCGUUAGUAUAAAAUGUAUAUUGAAAACGAACUGUAAAGGGAUGCAGAAAGAAAAUAGUAUAAUAAGUUUAAUUAUUACCUUUUGUAUCAGGGUUAAUUUAAUUUUCUAGAUUAAAUCUUUUUUCCCGAAAAAAAAAGAUUUAAAAUAAGUAUUUUUGUUAAUGUUGCAUAAUUAUAAAGAAGUUUAUUUUAGGUUUAAUAAAAAUUCGAUUUUUUAUAUCUGGUUAUUUAAUUGUUUAAUUUAAUUAAUUAUUUAAUCUGAAACAUUAUAUUGUGAUUGAAUUUAACUGUGUUAAGGAUAAUCUUGACAUAAAAUGAAUAUUUGUAUUACAAUAAUUACUUAUAAUGUAAGUUUAGAAAUAAUUAAUUUAAAGUGUAAUAAUGAAUUUAAGUAAAACAAAUUUAAAUAAUAGUGUAAUUUCUUAUCGAAUUAAAUUAUGGCGAGGAAUUGUAUAUUGUCAACAAUAAUGGUUAAAUUAGUAUAUAAUAAAAAUGUAAGUUAAGAAUUCGGCAAUUUAAAUUUUCGCCUGUUUUUCAAAAACAUCUCUGGAAGAGAGAUAUUUUUGGUAUAACCUGCUCAAUGCGUAAGUAAAUAGCUGCAGUAUUUUGACUGUACAAAGGUAGCAUAAUCAUUAGUUUUUUAAUUGAAGACUGGAAUGAAUGGUUUGACGAAAAAUUAUCUUUCUUACUUAUAUUUGGUUGAAAUUAAUGUUUAUGUCAAAAUUCAUAGGUAUAAUAAAGGGACGAGAAGACCCUAUAGAAUUUUAUGUUCUAAAUUGAGAUUAAGAAUUUUUUAUUGGGGUGAUAGAAAUUAAACAAUUUCUUGUAACGAUAUUUAUAAAUAGAUUUAAGAUCCUAAAUUGAGAUAGUAAGACAAAAUUACCUUAGGGAUAACAGCAUAAUUUUUUCUGAAAGUUCUAAUUAAUGAAAAAGUUUAUGACCUCGAUGUUGAAUUAAAUUUCCUACAGGGGCAGUUUUUUGUAGGUCAAAGUCUGUUCGACUUAUUAAAUUUACAUGAUUUGAGUUCAAACCGGUGUGAGCCAGGUUGGUUUCUAUCUUUUAAAAAUUAAUUUAAUUUAGUACGAAAGGGUUAAUUAAAUACAUUAUUAUUGUAAAAAUUGAAUUAUUUUAAAUUUCUA